CCAAAACGCCGCCCUAAAAUUCUAUAUGCCAUCAGCAACGCCGAAGCAUCAAGGCAGGCCGUAUUGGUUGGUUUUAGCCUUCCCAUAGCGAACAUAUUAACGAAUAAAUAAUAAAAUCUCGGCAUUUAUAAACAUAGCGGUUCCUCGGAUUAGAUGGGUGGCACAGCACUAACAGCAACACCAGCAGCAGCUACAGGGAAUUGUACAGCCUAUUAGCCAGUUCACCGGACAAUCCUUCCAAUCCUGAUACGGCGGCUACAUUCCGAUUUCUCCGAUAAUAAGCUUAUACAUGGCCAGUUCAAGUGCCCAUUCAAGGGAUCCUAGCUUGACGAAAGACAUCGUCGACGGUAAGGUUUCCAUGACGCCUCGGCUGAUAAGCCAAGCCAUCGCACGCAGGUUCCAGUAGUCGAACGGCGCCAACACAUUCGGAGGACGGCGCGAGUGUCAUGAACGCAGACCAGGCAUGGGAAUGUCGAUUCAGAAUCCAUUGCAAGCCCAGCAGUUGGUACAUCAGCAAAUACAAAUGCUCGUCUAACCACAACAGAUGCAGCAGCAAAUGCAAUCGUUGCCACUGGAAGUCAAUUCGGCUGGUAGUCGGCAGAAAAUUCGCAGUUCGACGCUCCCUUGCUGCGAAGUCAUCUUAACUGCAAACAUUCCGGGUUUACACUUGAAACGACGCUGUUUGAACACCGAGGGUGAAAGAUUUUUGACCAAAUACCUAUCCGAAGAUUGAUGAUAGAUACCAGACUGACCGGUGAAAUGAUCACAUGGUUUAUAGACGUGACUAGAACCGGAUCAUGCCUUUUUUGAACCGAAUACACGUCACGCCUUCGCCGAGGACCAGGUGGUUUUCAAGGCUGUACAGACUGUGCUGAAAUCGAGCAAGGUUCGCACCGAGAAUCUGAGCGGCCAAUCGACCACCAACGACUUCACCCAGGCUAAAGACUCCUUUCCGGAAUAUUUUUUUUUCUUCAUUUGUCAACCGAAUGCAACGUUGAAAUUUAAAAUGUAUUCGAUCUGUAUUGCGAGUAG